UCCUCGGUGACAAAAUGGAAUUGCGUACUUAUGCAUUUGUGCAGUUUGCCUUUACAAAAGACAAUGUACUUCACAGAUUCGAUAUCACUUCCAGCCUACGUCGAUACCUGUUUAUAGUAAAGUGAAAAGUGCUGCAUCUUUCUGUAGGAGACCCGCGCAGGUGUUUCCAAAAAAGGGGGCGCUCCUCUGAGGGCCCUGUCCGGAGGAGAGAGCAAAGGCGAGUGCAGAUGGCUUGCAAACUGCUGAGCGACCCUUCCGUGCUGAUCCAGGAUGUAUCGAAGGUCACAGACUUCCUUGGAGACCUGGGAAUGCAGUGUCCUCCAGAGAGUAACCCAGCAGACUUCAUCUAUCUUGCCUCAAGAUACCCUGUGAAUCUUGACAGGAAAAAUGGGAUUUACUCGGACUACAAGGCAGGUGAGUGAUCUUGUUUUUGUACCUUAUUUUAGGAAAGUCCCCUCCUUGUUCAAAGCUCUAAUGCAGUGGUUCUCAGUCCUGGUCUGUGGUACAGUAAGUCCUGUUCUGAAGCAGUGUGUCGGCUGUUUUUUUUUUGAUCCAGCAGAGUUCUUAAACACAGGCAAAUGUAUUUGGAUUCUGUAAGGCCUUUUUAAAAUAAAUGUGCUUUCUUUUCUUUAAAAAACCAAAUUAUGUUUGUAAUUUGUAUGAACCCUGUGCUUAUUUGAGGGUUUUGGAACUGCUCUCAUUUAGGUGUGCCUGUUGAAAUAUUAGACUUGAGCAGAAGGAAAAACUGACUCGCUGUGGGUGGGUCUGGUACAUUUUUUACACCUUCUGUUCACUAAUUGAUCACUUAUUCAAAGUAUCAUGAGUAAUAAGGGGGCUGAUUCUUAAUGAGUAGGCAGGCACCUCAUAGAGUUCUGUGGUUUUUUUAAACCACUACAGAGUGAAGAAAAAUGUCUAAACCAGUCAGCAGAACAGUUACUGGCAACAAUUAACAAUAGUAAUCAAGGGCCCAGUUAGAACAUGAUCCAGCAGACACAGGGGUCCUCCAGAGCCAGGAGUGCUGUAAAGGAACCUAUGUUGACUGUCUUAGCUCCUCAUUGCUCUGAAGAAAAAUCUUGCAGCCUGGGAGACCAAGUUCAGAUCCAUUCUUCACUUCUUCCCGACUGUGGCCCGAACUCCAAGGCCUUCUUUGAGCAUGAAAUGGCUGUAGUGGCGUGCCCUGUUUCUUUGGUGUCCCAUGCUUUUGCCUUAAGGAAGCUGUAAGAAGAGGACUCCUAACAGCUUGGGUUGGCCUACGUCUUUCUGGCGGUGUGACAGUUCAAGCUGUAUCUGACUGGGCUCCACGUAGCCAGGACCCUCAUUUUGGCAGUGAUCACCGGACUCAUCUGGCACCAGCUUCAACAAGAGGAGGAGCAAGUGAAAGAUCAUAGUCAAGAGCACAAUAGAACACAGGGACCUUUCUGAACCUUAUUUUUAUGGUCCCCAGUGGCCUUCUGGAAGCUUCCACAGGGCACGUCAAGGUGUUUAUUCUGAUGCUGUGCUGGUUCCUCACCCCUGUCUACUGCUCAGUGGGAUCACGUGAGUAUGACUCUAACACUGUUUCUUCAUGUACUGAAGACCUGCAGAAAGGCUUCAGAAUACAGUGUGUUCACAUCAAACUGCCGAACAGUAAGAAUUAAUCAUUCUGCUUUACUAUGAGAGGUGCAGAACGCACAGAUACAAGCACUCUAGUGUGUUUCAUGAGUGGCAAUCUCUCUUUUCAUGUAUUGAAAAUGAUUUUUUUCUGGUUUUAGUAGCAUGGGGGCAGUAAUCCAUAAAAGGCAUUUAUUCAUAUUGCACAAUAGGGAAAGACCGCAACCGCCACUCUGUGCAGCAAGUGGGAGCUGAUUUCCAAAGUAAAAUAGAGAAAAGUCCCUUAUUUUAUACACUUAGCUGAUGCAGCACCUCAACUUGUUUACUUCAUUAUGGUUGGUUAGUAAUACAAAGACAGGCAAGACAGUAAUUUUCCAGUCCUUAGAGGUCUUAGCCUUGAAGGACAGAGAAGACGGCUACGUGCAGUUUUGUAUCUGCCUUUUUUGCUGGGGCAGAGAUAAACAUAUUCUUAGAACAUCCCAUGCCCUUGACUCGCUGGGUACGAUCACACUUUGCUCAAAGAAUCCGGCUGCUUUUACAACACAGCUCUGCCCGUAAACUACAUUUUUAGGAUAAAACACUUUUCUUCAGUAACUUUCCAUUACAGUACCACCCCCCGGCCUACUUCCUGGCCAAGGUGCUGAUGGAGCUGGCCUUCAUCCUGCCUCGCCUGGUGGGCCACCUCUCCAUCGCCUUCUGGAGGAGCAGACUGGGAGUGCCGCUGCUCUUCUGGGUGUCAGUGCCCUAUCCUGCUUCGCUGCUCAGGUACAGCUCUGAACUGUCGCUUUCCUUUGUUCACCUACCGAACAUAAAGCAGCACGUACCUUCAGAAGAGUUCUGGGAAAUAUCUGCAGUUAAAAGGUCAAAUGAAACAAAGGGUGUGUUAUUGAUAUCAACCCCUGUGCCAAGUUUCUGAACCCCUCCUUAGGCGGUGCUGCUUUAAAUGGAUUCAACUGGACAAAAAUGCCCAUUUUGCGAGUGUCUGAUGUUAUUCCCACCUAUGCCUGUUCAUUAGCAAUUGGCCAACUAGUAAGAGCUGGUUCUUCAUAAAUAAUGGCAAGUUGAGGAGAGGCUGAGUAAUAUUCUGUGUGCUGAAGUAGGGUACUUUUGAUACUCAGGACUAAUCGAAGAUCAAAGUUAAUUGAUCGAUGUGCUUUUUUCAACUUCUAUUUAAGUCCUCAAUUAGAACUAGAGCACUAGAGGUGUGGAAUGAAAACCAGCAGACUGCUCCUCCAGGUACAUGGUCAGGAACCACUGGUGUGCCGCAGUCUGGAUGUGGUCGGUCUUGGAAAUUGUUUCACAAAUAAAGACAUCACAGUGCCAGAGUUUAAAUAUAAUUAUGGAAAUGACAAUUGUUUAACAUGUUUAACGCUUGUUUGAUUGAAUCUGGUCUUUGCGUAAACAAGCAUAAUGGCUUGUAUUUAUCAAUUCAAUGUUUGAGAUGCACGCAGUAUGAAGUAGAAGAAAAUAAGACUGAAGAAUGAGGUGUAGGAAGCACAGUGGCACAGUGGUUAGCAUUGCUACCUCACAGCGCUGGGGCUCUGGGUUAAUUUCCUGAGGUGCUGUCUGCAUGGACUUUGCAUGUUCUCUCUGUGUUUACAUGGGUUUCUUCCUGCUGUCUUCCCUACUGUUCUCCCACAGUUCAUAUUGGUGGAAAAACAUACUGGCUGAAAAAGUCAGUACAAAAUGAACAUCAAUACAUAAUACAGCAUAACUAGAGUUAUCGGCCAGCCCCAUAAUUGUGGAGUGUCUGUGUUUGUAUGCGCUCUGUGACAGAUUGCUGUCAUGUCCUGGUUGUGUCCUUCCUUGCACCUGUUGCUUGCUGGGAUAGGUACUGGCUCCCCCAUGACCCUGAACUUGAUAAAGUGGUCAGAAAUGGAUGUAUGGUUGGAAUUAAAUGUAUUAAAAGUGCAAUUAAGGGGGUAAUUAAAAUCAGGUGGUUAAAUAAUUUGGUAACCACUAAACAAGGACUGAAUUUGGGUGAUUAAAAGAGAUUUCACAAGACCUCAGAUAAAAAAAAAGAGUUGAUGCUGAUUACUCAAGAGGGUUACAAAAUCAUUUCUAAACAUCUUGGGCUCCAUCCACUGUCAUACAGUGAACCAAUGGAAAAUAUUCAAGAGCACAGUGACUCUACCCAGGAUCAUUCAUCCUGAAAAGAAUCACAUCUAUUAAUUUGAUUUCAGCAGCACUAGCAACCAACCACAAAUCCUGUCACUACUGUGUCAAAAAUAAAGUUUAUAUUUAAAUAUUUGUUUUUAGAAUGAGGUGAGAGUUGUAUGACUUUAUAACAACCCAAUGUACACUGCAAACUCAUAUAGACCAUGUGACUUAUUUCUCACUAGUGACAGAUGGAAAGCACAUUGAAUUACCCUAAUUGCAUAACUACAAAAACUUGAGUCAUUGUUUCCACAAAUCGGACCUGGCAAUCUAAUAGGCUGUGGUCACAGAUGAGGAAAUUAAAAAUGGAAAAAUAAGUAGAAUGAGGUCAUUUUUAGACACUGAAGUUUGAACUUCCCCUCAGUCCGCAAGCCUCCUAAUUAGCAUACUUUUCCUGACACCAGACUGGAUUGGCUCCAUCACCUCCAUUUUUACAAUCCUUUCCAUCCUGAUGAUUGGGGACUUUGCCAAGAUUCCUGAUCACCUGUCUUGGAUGUAGUACCUGUUCAUGGUAAAGGUCACUCUCCAGCCUUCUCUGCAGCUCAAGUUUG